rnacentral:misc_RNA from 1 species
GUUUAUUUCAAUUUAUUUUCAUUUUAUUUUUAGUCCUUAAACUGAUUUUGAAUAGUACUAUUCAUGGGUUAAAAAUAAUAAUGUUCAGAGCUCAGAAAUUCAAGACGUUACAUAAACCAUCUGCAGCUUUGUUUAUCAUUGCAAUAUCAAGAGGAACUUCCAAAUGAAAUCCUCCUUUACUCCCUUGUGUCCCUGCAACCCCAUGGUAGUCAACAUCAAAAUAUGUAGCUUAACAUGGCUCUUCAAGGACGGGGACUCUCUAGUGUUAAUUGGCAAGUUUUCUCCCACAUGUAAGGCCAUUUCUGGAUGGGUAGGAAUCAGGUCGUUGGCAUUUGUUACCCUCAACACACGAACAUCUUUCAGAUCAUCAUAUAUCUUCUUUAAGCCUAAGUCUCCAACUCGAAGACUAUCGAAGACAAUUGCUGUCACCGGAAAACUCUUGUUUGGCUCGCUUGUUAGCUUGUUAUAGCCAUUAUAAGCUAUGUCCAUUGCAUUCAAGGUUGCUAGUGCUGAUCCCAAACUUUAGCCUGUUAUUGUUAUACUGACCUCCUCAUCCUCGUAUUUAUCCACCAGUUUCCUCACUACAGCUAGAACCUAUAUAUAUAUGACUAACAUAAAAUGGUCCCAAGAUAAUUAAUUCUUAAAAAGAACAUGAAUUACCUGCUCUCUUGCACUAGUGUUAUUGUAAGUAAGGUUUUGGUCUUUUGAGGUGUAGAGGCAGUGAAAGCCAUAAUGCACAAAAGGCGGAAGAAGAUGGGCCCCAAAUAAGUCUAAAGCUAGGACUGGUAUAAAUUCAAGAUCUCUGUGCCAUUCCACUUUCAACGUGUUUCCUCUCCAAGAAACCACAAUGUCCCUCCUUCCAAACUUAUUCUUCCCGUCAUCUGUGGCAACCGCCACAUAUGCACACCAAGUGGAUAGUGGUUCACUAUCCCAGUGGAAGACAUCGUCCUUUAAUCUUGAAUAAAUAAAGUCAGUGAGAGUAUAAUUGAAGGGAUUACGGCUUGUUACGCCUAGGUUGGAGAAGAAAUCCUUUGGUGAAUAAUGAUUGAAUCCACAACAAUCUAAGUACUUCUUGUCUUUAUAGGCAUUGGCAAUAGCUGCAACUCUAUCCCCAUAAUUAAAAAUAAAGCAAUGAAGGUCAUAGUCUAGAGUAUCCAACAGACCUUUCCAAUUGUUCUCGCCACUUAGUUCUCUCCAUUUCUCUGCAAUACCAUCCACUGCACUUCGCCCUGUGCUAGCCAUCCCUUCUUUCCUUUUUUUAUUUGCUCAAAUGAAGAAAAUUUUGUUGAUAUGAGG